rnacentral:rRNA from 1 species
AGGGUUUGAUUAUGGCUCAGGAUGAACGCUGGCGGCGUGCCUAACACAUGCAAGUCGAACGGAACUAUUUUGGAAACUCCUUCGGGAGCGGAAUCUUUAGUUUAGUGGCGGACGGGUGAGUAACGCGUGAGCAAUCUGCCUUUAAGAGGGGGAUAACAGUCGGAAACGGCUGCUAAUACCGCAUAAAGCAUCAAAUUCGCAUGUUUUUGAUGCCAAAGGAGCAAUCCGCUUUUAGAUGAGCUCGCGUCUGAUUAGCUGGUUGGCGGGGUAACGGCCCACCAAGGCGACGAUCAGUAGCCGGACUGAGAGGUUGAACGGCCACAUUGGGACUGAGACACGGCCCAG